rnacentral:rRNA from 1 species
CGUGGGUAACCUGCCCAAGAGAUCGGGAUAACACCUGGAAACAGAUGCUAAUACCGGAUAAUAACAGAUGAUGCCUAUCAACUGUUUAAAAGAUGGUUCUGCUAUCACUCUUGGAUGGACCUGCGGUGCAUUAGCUAGUUGGUAGGGUAACGGCCUACCAAGGCGAUGAUGCAUAGCCGAGUUGAGAGACUGAUUGGCCACAUUGGGACUGAGACACGGCCCAAACUCCUACGGGAGGCAGCAGGG